GCUACGGGAGGCAGCAGUGAGGAAUAUUGGUCAAUGGGAGGAAUCCUGAACCAGCCAUGCCGCGUGCAGGACGACGGCUCUACGAGUUGUAAACUGCUUUUGUACCGGGGUAAAAUGCCUUACGUGUAGGGUUUUGAAAGUCCGGUACGACUAAGGAUCGGCUAACUCCGUGCCAGCAGCAGCGGUAAUACGGAGGCUCCGAGCGUUAUCCGGAUUCAUUGGGUUUAACGGGUGCGUAGGUUGUUUUAUAAGUUAGCGGAGAAAUACCGAUGCUCAACAUCGGGGCUGCCGCUAAUACUGUAGGACGAGAGAUCGGAUGCAGCAGGCGGAAUGUGUAGUGUAGCGGUGAAAUGCAUAGAUAUUACACAGAACACCGAUUGCGAAGGCAGCUUGCUAGGCCGGAUCGGACACUGAUGCACGAAAGCGUGGGGAUCGAACAGGAUUAGAUACCCUGGUAGUC
rnacentral:rRNA from 1 species